rnacentral:rRNA from 1 species
GACGAACGCUGGCGGCGUGCUUAACACAUGCAAGUCGAACGGAAAGGCCCUGCUUGCCGGGUACUCGAGUGGCGAACGGGUGAGUAACACGUGGGUGAUCUGCCCUGCACUUCGGGAUAAGCCUGGGAAACUGGGUCUAAUACCGGAUAGGAGCCAUUUUUAGUGUGAUGGUUGGAAAGUUUUUUCGGUGUAGGAUGAGCUCGCGGCCUAUCAGCUUGUUGGUGGGGUAAUGGCCUACCAAGGCGGCGACGGGUAGCCGGCCUGAGAGGGUGGACGGCCACAUUGGGACUGAGAUACGGCCCAGACUCCUACGGGAGGCAGCAGUGGGGAAUAUUGCACAAUGGGCGCAAGCCUGAUGCAGCGACGCCGCGUGGGGGAAGACGGCCUUCAGGUUGUAAACUCCUUUCGCUAGGGACGAAGCUUUUUGUGACGGUACCUAGAUAAGAAGCACCGGCUAACUACGUG